rnacentral:rRNA from 1 species
GCUGAAAGCAUCUAAGCAUGAAGCCCCCCUCAAGAUGAGAUUUCCCAUUCCGCAAGGAAGUAAGAUCCCUGAAAGAUGAUCAGGUUGAUAGGUCUGAGGUGGAAGUGUGGCGACACAUGGAGCUGACAGAUACUAAUCGAUCGAGGACUUAACCAA